GCAGAGGGGACGAUGAGGUGCGGAGGCGUUGGCAGUUGACUUUUGCUGAUGGAGCCUCUCUGAAGGGCAAAUUCAAAGUACAGCUGGGUGCUGCAGCACUGGAGUGCGAACUUGUGGCUGUGGUUAUGAAGGAGCCUCGUCAGCUAUGCCUUUAGCCCCUGGUGAAGCAGUGCCAGUCACACUUUGCCAGUCAAACGGAGAGGCAGCAGUAGUAAGACCAGACCAAAUCAAACCAAACCAAGCAAACCACGGGGAAUGGAGACACAGAGUUUCAUUCUGUCACCCAGGCUGGAGUGCAGAUGCAGUGGCAUGAUGAUAGUGCACUACAACUUGGAACUCCUGGGCUCAAGCCAUCUUCCCUCCACUGCCUCCAAGUAGCUGGGGACUACAGGUGACUGGUUAUCUUGAUCUCUCCCACAAUUGGUUUGGAAGCCUGCUCAGCAGCCCCUGUCACUCAACUCUCAAAGAUCACUUUUGUUUUCAAGCAAAUACUAAAACAGGUGGAACCUGCCACCAGUAAUAUGACCCACUGAGUAGAGAAGGUGACUCAGUCUUGGCAGCUCAAGUCAGGCUUGGGAGAGGUGACUGUGGGAAUCCAAAUGAACGGCUUAUUUCCAAAGAAUGUGCAAAAUUCCAGUGUCAAAAAUGUGAACAAUUCAGUGCAACUGGACACACCUGACACACCUCUGCAGUCUUCCUCACACAAAGCCACCUGCUCUAAGUCAGCUUCAGGAGAAUCUUGUUUUCUAGCACCCACAGGAGCAGUUCCUACAACUCAAGGGAGAGUUCAGAUGGAAGGAGUGUUUGCUCCAAGGCUUGAUAUGCAGCU
ensembl:lncRNA SLC38A4-AS1 SLC38A4 antisense RNA 1